rnacentral:rRNA from 1 species
UACGUAGGGUGCAAGCGUUGUCCGGAAUUAUUGGGCGUAAAGGGCUCGUAGGCGGUUUGUCGCGUCGGGAGUGAAAACAUCUGGCUUAACUGGGUGCUUGCUUUCGAUACGGGCAGACUGGAGGUAUGCAGGGGAGAACGGAAUUCCUGGUGUAGCGGUGAAAUGCGCAGAUAUCAGGAGGAACACCGGUGGCGAAGGCGGUUCUCUGGGCAUGUCCUGACGCUGAGGAGCGAAAGUGUGGGGAGCGAACAGG